GACGAACGCUGGCGGCGUGCUUAACACAUGCAAGUCGAACGGAAAGGCCCUGCUUUUGUGGGGUGCUCGAGUGGCGAACGGGUGAGUAACACGUGAGUAACCUGCCCUUGACUUUGGGAUAACUUCAGGAAACUGGGGCUAAUACCGGAUAGGAGCUCCUGCUGCAUGGUGGGGGUUGGAAAGUUUCGGCGGUUGGGGAUGGACUCGCGGCUUAUCAGCUUGUUGGUGGGGUAGUGGCUUACCAAGGCUUUGACGGGUAGCCGGCCUGAGAGGGUGACCGGCCACAUUGGGACUGAGAGACGGCGCAGACUCCUACGGGAGGCAGCAGUGGGGAGUAUUGCACAAUGGGCGGAAGCCUGAUGCAGCAACGCCGCGUGCGGGAUGACGGCCUUCGGGUUGUAAACCGCUUUCGCAUGUGACGAAGCGUGAGUGACGGUAAUGGGUAAAGAAGCACCGGCUAACUACGUG
rnacentral:rRNA from 1 species